rnacentral:rRNA from 1 species
CCUACGGGAGGCAGCAGUGGGGAAUUUUGGACAAUGGGCGAAAGCCUGAUCCAGCAAUGCCGCGUGAGUGAAGAAGGCCUUCGGGUUGUAAAGCUCUUUUGUCAGGGAAGAAACGGUGAGAGCUAAUAUCUUUUGCUAAUGACGGUACCUGAAGAAUAAGCACCGGCUAACUACGUGCCAGCAGCCGCGGUAAUACGUAGGGUGCAAGCGUUAAUCGGAAUUACUGGGCGUAAAGCGUGCGCAGGCGGUUUUGUAAGUCUGAUGUGAAAUCCCCGGGCUCAACCUGGGAAUUGCAUUGGAGACUGCAAGGCUAGAAUCUGGCAGAGGGGGGUAGAAUUCCACGUGUAGCAGUGAAAUGCGUAGAUAUGUGGAGGAACACCGAUGGCGAAGGCAGCCCCCUGGGUCAAGAUUGACGCUCAUGCACGAAAGCGUGGGGAGCAAACAGGAUUAGAUACCCUGGUAGUCCACGCCCUAAACGAUGUCUACUAGUUGUCGGGUCUUAAUUGACUUGGUAACGCAGCUAACGCGUGAAGUAGACCGCCUGGGGAGUACGGUCGCAAGAUUAAAACNCAAAGGAAUUGACGG